CCAGCCGAGACAAAUCAACAUCAGAAAGACCUUAGCAGCUCUACUACAGUGGAAGACCUAUUGACUUAAUAUUAGUUAAUCAGGUCUUAGUAUUUGCAACUUGAGCUCUUCAUAAGAGGUAAUCGAACAAUUGGCCAGGUAAGCAGGUGGGAGGCUCCCCUUACUCAGAGAGUAAGGUCCUAAUUAAGUAACCACCUUUCAUGCUUUCCUAGACACCAAUUAGAUUAAUUAAUCUAAUAUGACUUGCUCAUGUUGGUUCACUCUCGACUUGAUUGAGGAGGUU
rnacentral:lncRNA from 1 species